CCUGGAGCCAUCCUAUCAACUGUUUACGUCCUUGCGCUGUCCUCUCAUGUAAUCUUCUUAUCAAAGUCAUAUUACGCUUUCCAGAGUAGUCUGUCUCAAACUGCACAGGCUAGCAUCUCCGAGGAAAUUGCGCUUUUCGCGGGCAUUCAACGGAGCAUACGUAAUGACGCAUGAUACGUAGCACUCGGAAUAACGCGAGGAGGCAGGGGGAGAAAAACUAGGAUGCAAGUUGGAGUCGGACCACCACCCACGGAUCUUCUGCAAUACAUCCACCUUGUCAUGCCGACCACACACAAAACCAAAAGAAAGCAGCACACCACACCAGAGGAGAACCCUGCAAUGUUGUCUGACAAUGGUGUUGAAGAGAGUCAACAAAAUGCUCCAACAAAAGCACCAACAAAGGCACCUACCAUGG